GCAGCGCGUCCUACACCAGAGACCUCCGACUUCCUCGCAGACCACGUCUCUUGGCGGCCUCCCCUCCCAUUCGCACUUACCCAGGGUUAUCUCCCCAUCCGUUCACAAGCCCACAACGUCCCUAGGGGCACUCCCCAGCAAUGGUAAUUGGUUUCAUAUUAAGUUAAGUUCAUAUAAAGUUCAUGGUAAGUCGCCCUAGAGCCAAGCCUGAGCACAAGUGAGCUCGCCUCUCCCCGGGUCCCUGCCUGGAAGGGAGAGAUUUCCCGCUGCCUUUUAGUGAGAAUGAGCAGCUGGAAGCCAGGAGAAAAGCCAGGGGCAGGUGACCGGGAAUAGUUUGGCGGGGCAGGGUGUGGGGAUCUCGGUUGUACAGUGCUUGGAAGCUGAGCUGUUCUCAGCUGGGCGCUAAAGUGGCUCCAUUCACGUCUCUGGUUUGCUGCGAAUUCAUCUCCGGCGGGGGGUGACUGCUAGGUCCUUCCCCGCCACCCCAGGCCUGGGAACGCGCAAGCGAGCUCCCUCUAUGUCCAGGCCGAUCCCGAAGGUGGUGGGUGUUUUAAAGUCCAGCUCUUUCCUCCCACCGAACCGCGGAGUCAGGCCUGGGAGCUGAGGUCUCUCCCGCUCCUUGCGGGCUGGCCCACGUGUGAGCGGCCCCAGGCGGAUGGGUGCUCUUCCGGUUCCGAUUUGCUAGGACCCCCCCCCCGCCAGGCUUGCUGGAGGGGGGGCGCGGAGAAUCGGGGCGCCCUGGAUCCGCUUGAGGCCAGCCGGGCGUCCCACCUUCCCGGGCCGGGCAGGGCCAGCGCGCACCGCUGGGAGCGCACCAUUCCCCGCGGAGGCGCACGGGCAGGUGUCAGCCCCGGGUAUGGCCAGGGCGCCCCGCCGCUGCGCACGGGGAGAGCGGCGCGGACACGGCGCAGGAGGGUCCCCGAGCGGCGGGGCUGGGCCGGGCCGGAGACGGGCCGGGCUUGGCUUGAGGCAGCCCUCCACUGGCUGCAGAAACUUCUCCGGACACCACCUAAGGUUUUCAGCUCAAGAUGGGAAAGGUACAGGGCCAAGGUAACAUCUUUGUGGUCAGUCUGUCUGUAGCAGACCUGGUAGUAGCGGUGUACCCUUAUCCUCUCAUCCUGAGUGCCAUUUUCCAUAAUGGCUGGACACUGGGAAACGUUCACUGCCAAAUCAGUGGGUUCCUCAUGGGCUUAAGUGUCAUUGGGUCCAUUUUUAACAUCACGGUCAUAGCAAUCAACAGAUACUGCUACAUCUGCCACAGCCUCUGGUAUGAUAAACUCUUCAACCUGAAGAACACCUGCUGCUAUCUUUGCCUGACCUGGAUACUGACAGUGGUUGCAAUUGUGCCAAACUUUUUUGUUGGAUCCCUGCGAUAUGAUCCCCGGAUUUAUUCCUGCACCUUUGCCCAGACUGUAAGUACAUCGUACACCAUAACAGUGGUAGUUGUUCAUUUUAUAGUCCCCCUGACUAUAGUGUCAUUCUGUUACCUACGGAUUUGGAUUUUGGUGAUUCAAGUCAAGCACCGGGUAAGACAAGACUCCAGGCAGAAGCUAAGAGCAGCUGAUGUUCGGAAUUUUUUGACCAUGUUUGUGGUUUUUGUCCUCUUUGCAGUGUGCUGGGGGCCGUUAAACUUCAUUGGUCUUGCUGUCUCCAUUAAUCCUUCGGAAGUAGUGCCAAAAAUUCCAGAAUGGCUCUUUGUCCUGAGUUACUUCAUGGCCUAUUUUAACAGCUGCCUCAAUGCAAUGAUAUACGGGCUUCUCAAUCAGAAUUUCCGAAAGGAGUACAAAAGAAUCCUACUGACUCUGUGGACUCCGAGGUUGCUGUUCAUCGACGUGUCGAAAGGUGCGACGGAGGGACUGAAAAGCAAGCCCUCCCCAGCUGUAACAAACAACAACAACCAAGCUGAAAUACACUUAUGAAUCAGAGCAAUGCUAUGUAUUCUGGGAUACAGUUGUGUAUAUACUAUAGUAUGCAAAAGCUUUUCUUCCUGCACAUUUAAAAGCUGAUAUGACGGGGGCCAGUACCGCCAGCAUUUACUCAUCCAAGAACUGGGUCUGUUUCUACACAUGGCGUCUGAGUGCCUUACUCACAGAAGUAAAGCUUUGAGUAAGGAUUUGCAGGAUGGAACCCACUGACUUUAUUUUUCCUAUGCCAUUUUUCACCAGGUGCCUAGGUGACUUUGAUGCACUUGCCACACAGAAAAAAGGAAGUGCUGAGAUACCGGUAUCAAGCUGGGAGAAAAAUAGAUCAUGCUUCGACAAUGUGACCUCAGCAACAGAUUCACAAAUGUCCCUGUUAAGCCAGUUUCCAAGAGCCUUGGGUUGAAAGGAAGAUCUGUUCUAUUAGCCACCAGAGGGAGCCCAUGGCAUCACUUGAAUGUUGCAGAUUCCCAUUGACAAGAUCAUGUCAAUAUGCAGAGUUUCAGUGGAAUGGUUUCAGCAGAAGCAGAGACCUGGCUCCAUAUGCCCAUGAGCCUUGAUGAAAAUCCAGCUGAAUUUACUUCAUUGUUUGUUGGUCCAUGAAAGGAGGAUAACUGAGAGAGAAAACAAAAGUGAAAAUUGUAAUGGCGUCACUCAAUAGAGGAUCCGUGCCAUUGCACUAAUCUAUGAGCAAGCAAUCCAUGUUGCAAUCCAUGCCAACAAUAGGAUUUAUCAUUCCACAGUGGCUGGAGGGUGCCUUCAGUCUUGCUGUCAGCAGUCCGGCAUACUCCAUUGAACUGUUCAGAAGAUGACAAACUCUUCCUUUUGAAAUGGAUUUCUUGUGACCGAAAGACCUCAUCCACAAGGAGUUCCAUGUGCAUAAUCCAGCCGCACUGAAGUCAUCCUGAAUUGAAGUCAGUUGCAGGGUUGGGGGCUAAAUCUGUAACAUCGGCAGAAGGCUAAUAACAAAACAAAACAAAAACUCAAUACUGGCAAUUUGUCCUAGAUAUUCAGUAAAUACUCAUUCGGGUGAUUGUGGAGGAGAUGCUGCUUGUCUCUGAAGGAAAAGCAGACGAUGGAUGUUGACUGGCUUCUUCCUUUCUAUCCUCCAGAGAUCAGUAGCAAUUGCUUCUCUCAUCACUUAGAAUGACAGAGUGCUGGUUGCCAUCAAUCCUUUGAAUUUGCAGCGGUACCUCACUAGGAAUUGCCAAUAAGAAGACUUCAGCUGUACUUAUGGUGACUGACUCAGUAAAGCCCCAGAUGUCCAUUUUUGUAUGAAAUAGGCACUCUAGCUCACCAGCUAACUCUGCCUGAGGUUCCUCCUUCAAUGAAGAAUGACCUGUCUCCUGACCACGGCCCUAUGUCUUCAGCGUGAGGCAGAAAUGGAGUCAAUGAGUUUUCUCUUCCAAGCUGUGCUACGUUUUAACAAGAAGGCUCUGCGAGAAGAUAACUUGGACUUUCCUCUUCUUCAGCUCCCUUCCAAAAUUCCUGAAGUUUUCAAUAAGAUGUGAACUUCCACAUGAUGUCAUAUCAUAUAGAGAAUCCACCACAUCCUUAGUUUUUCAACAGCCUUUUUGAAGCGUGCAUACCAGAAAUAGACACAACAUUCCAGUAUUGGUCUCAUAAUGCCAUGUACAAAGCAUCCUGCUAAAGUAGGGGCUGAAUGUCUGUAUGCUGGGCCAGUCUCUUUGCUAGGAUGUCUCUGCUGCACAAAAGAACCAGAAAAUAGCCUGUCAAAAGAUAAUAGUACUGAUCCCACAGACCAAGCUUUCAUUGUCACCAACAGGAGCCAGCUGGAAUCAGUAAAUUCAGAUGCUGUGGUGAUGGGCACGUUACAGGUACACAAAUACAACAGAUGGGUUCCAACACUUGCUGAAAUAAAGCUAAUUGUAUUUGGAGACCAUUCCUUGGGCUGCUUGAGAGCUGAGGCCAAUUCCUUGCUUGACACAGCUACUGGACAGUGCACCCUCAUGUGCUUUGGACAAGACUUUCAUCCAGCAGCUACUGGGUUAAUGUUCAGUUCUGGAGUGCAGCAGCUUAAUUGGGACAAGGUGAACUUGCCUUUUUCUAGUGGCUAGAGGUGCCUGGGGGGAAGCAGAAACCACAAUUGGUGCCUUUGGAAUCUCCUGGUUGGACACUGGUUUUGCCUGUUGAGGAGAUUGAGCUGCUUCUGAGCCAGAAAGACCAGUCCAGAUUGCUCCUGCCCCUUUGAGUGUGCAAGGGAGAGUGCCCCAGGAGCCUCCGUUCUUUGCAGCCAUAGAGGCUCGCCACAGCUGCAGUCCUGGUGCAACCUGAAUGUGGCUAGACCGAUUAGGAGAUGAUGUCACAGUGAGCGGCCUUCUCCCUGUCCUGCCCCCACCUGUGAAUCCCGGUUCCAUGGCAGCACCACCAGUAGGGUGAAGGGAGAAAGGGGUCAUCACCACCCUGGAAAGGCUGAAAAACAAUGGACUAGACUGCAUGCGACAUAUCACCGUCUGCUGGCAGGAUCUUUGGAGUAGAGGCUUUCACCUUCCGCUGGAGUUCUGAUCAGACGAUACCGUCGAACUGGAACAAAGACCCACCGGCUGUGUGGGGCCCAGACCAGAUGGCAACACGUCUCUUCCUGCUGGGGUCUAGCUGGAUCCUGUGAUCCUUGGAACGUGAAAAUAAACAAUGGAGCUUUGGGAAGCCUUUUCCUGACUACAACAAUGCCUUUCUUUGGGGUGCUGGAUAAUGCUCAGCCCAAGUGGGAUUUGUAUUCAUGUCGCUGAAUGGGCCUUGGAAGUACUUCACCUCUGGGUUGGCCAUGCAAGGACUGUACAUUAGCAAUAGCAGGCAUAAUGACAUCAUUCUAAGCCUGCCAAGAACAGCAGCCUUUCUGAGGUCUGGGGCUCUGAGUGGUUACAAGCUAGUAUGCGGUAUUUACAAGGAGCUGUAUGACUGGGAGCCAAGUUGACAAGCCUUUCAUCAACAGGCUGUACCGUCGGUUUAUAAUGAUGGUGGAAUGUAUAUUGCCACAGUUGCUGCCAUAAUUUGGGAAGUGUCCAUGUGUCUGAAUAAUAGAAACAGCAUUUAUCUGUCUCUUCGGCACUUUUAAUCCACCACCGCCCAUAGCAGUUAGAUGUAAUUUUCCAUUUCCAAAUGGAAAUUACCGAACACACUGGAGUUAUUUUCUAAAAUGGGAUAAAUGAACAUAAUUACUUCCUGAUCCUAUGAGGUGCUGAGGCCCUUCGGUUCCCUUGAGGACACUCAGUACUGUGGAGGACUGAGUGUUUUUUCUCUCUCAAGGGCUGUGCCCAGCUGCAGCACUGUGUAGAUAAUGUAACAGUCGCGCUAUUAAUGUAAACUCUUCCUUGCUAUUGUUUUAAACUAUAUGAUGGGCGGUGUGGGGAUGAGAGCAAAUUGUGGCUGAUUUGCCGCUGUGACUGAGAUCUACUCGGUACAGCAGAAGGGAGGGGACAUAACGGGACUGAUUAUGGGUCCCUGGACUAGCUCUGGCCCUGUGUAAACUGGAGCAGGCUGAGAGCUUCUCUAGCAUACAUUAGUUGGCAAAAAUAUCUUUCCCAGCUGAGGAUAGUUAGGGGACCGGAGGGAGAGAUCACAGCUAGAGCACUGCUACACUCUGUGUUGGGCUGGGGGAGAGACAGUGUAAGGUGUUGACUAUCUUGCCUUUCUCUUCUCUCCUCCCCUCCCCCCACUCCCUCGCCUCGCUCCAAGGGAGUUCUUAGCUGUCUGGAUAUGACCUCUUAGACAUGAAAGGGCUGGAAUGGAGGAGGGAAGCUGGUUACUUGUUUUAUUCUCUAGCUAUAAUGUUCAUCUCAAACAUACUCAGCUUACAGGUCAAAGGAUAAUGUUUCUAACAGCUAGGCCUGAAAACUCUACCUGGGAUCUGAAAGUUAAGCUGGGUUCUUCUCUCCUUUGGUGAGAUCCCCUGUUAAAAAAGAUGUGGUUGAAACUUUACUGGUAAUUCUGUGUGUGUGUCAUGAGGGCAGAAUUGAAUCCCAUAGAUGCAUUGGUUCUGAAGAGCUGAAGAGUAAAAUUAUUAUUUAAUAUUGGUAUUACUGUAGCACCUUGGAGCUCUAGUCAUGGACCAGAACCUUACUGUGCUAUUGGAUCGUUUGUUUGUUUUACAAGAUUAUCACAUCUGUUGUGUAAAGAUGUGCCUUUUAACACAGUCAUUGUUCUCUCAGUAAUAUAACACCUUAAAAAAUGCCUGCCAUCCUGUAGUCUCUAAAGUAUGUCUUUAAACAAUGAUCUGCAUUAACACACUGCUCCAGCUGUUAGAUUCAUUUCUGUUAAAAAGUGGAACACUGUAAUUCUGUGCAGUGCUUAAUGUAAGAAUGAAAU